rnacentral:rRNA from 1 species
UUGAACGCUGGCGGAAUGCUUUACACAUGCAAGUCGAGCGGCAGCGCGGGGCAACCUGGCGGCGAGCGGCGAACGGGUGAGUAACAUAUCGGAACGUACCCUAUCGUGGGGGAUAACACAUCGAAAGAUGUGCUAAUACCGCAUACGACCUGAGGGUGAAAGCGGGGGAUCGCAAGACCUCGCGCGACAGGAGCGGCCGAUAUCGGAUUAGCUAGUUGGUGAGGUAAAGGCUCACCAAGGCGACGAUCCGUAGCGGGUCUGAGAGGACGGCCCGCCACACUGGAACUGAGACACGGUCCAGACUCCUACGGGAGGCAGCAGUGGGGAAUUUUGGACAAUGGGCGCAAGCCUGAUCCAGCCAUUCCGCGUGAGUGAAGAAGGCCUUCGGGUUGUAAAGCUCUUUCGGCAGGGAAGAAACGGUUUGGGCUAAUACCCUGAGCUAAUGACGGUACCUGAAGAAGAAGCACCGGCUAACUACGU